UGGGCUGCUGCCUUGUCGUGGCCCACAUUCAGAGCUGUGGCAGCCCAGGGCCCCAGAGCCACGUUGCAACCGGGAUACCAGCCUCCAGGCCCCAGGCCUGCGUCAUCCCAGUGCCCUUGGCCAGGGCCCCCUGGGCAGGCACCAAGGCUGCUGCGCCUCCAGAAGAUGAAACGGAGACGCAGAGAGCUGCAUGUGGAAGGAGGAGGCGCUCGGACUCUGGAGGCUUUGCUACGGGCUUGGUGCAGGCAGAAAAGAACUGCAAUGCUCCGGGCGGAGGGAGCAGCACGGCAAAGGCCUAGAGUCUGCAAGGAACUUGGGGCCUUCCCGGAGCUUCCAGAGUGGAAGACUGGAGAGGCAAGAGCCCGGGCCUGAAGAGUCUGGCAGGGCCUGUAGACCCCAACGAGGGAUGUGAACUUUGGCUGAGAGCAGUGGGUUUGGGGAAGUCAUGGCUGGAUCAACUUUUCAGACCUACAGAGUCCUGGGUCCCCGCUUAGAGGAUGGGGUUGGGGGCGGUGGGGGAGCUGGGCUUUCCAGCAAGGGAGCGAUAUGGCAUGAAGGCUCGAGGGGCCACCAUGGACUGCUAGGUGACUUGUGCCCCAUAUAGAGCACCUGAAAAAAGGAAUGGUGGGGGCUGAAACACUACCUGCCACCCUGGCUUAGGGCUGGGGGCCCUGCCCACUCAGAGGAGGUGUCUUCUAAGUCCUACAAAGGCCCUUUAGAGGCCUGGUAAUGUCACGGAUGUGGGUUUAAAUCCCAGCUCAUCUACCUCACAGCUGAGGUCUGAGCAAGUCCCUUUA